UUAGAUCGUACCCACAUUUACUUGGAUAACUGUGGUAAUUCUAGAGCUAAUACAUGCAAACAGAGCUCCGACCGGAGACGGAAGGAGCGCUUUUAUUAGAUCAAAACCGAUCGGUGGUGGAUUUAUUCCAUCAUCGUACAAUUUGGUGAAUCUGAAUAACUUUAUGCUGAUCGCACGGUCUAGCACCGGCGACGCAUCUUUCAAAUGUCUGCCUUAUCAACUGUCGAUGGUAGGUUCUGCGCCUACCAUGGUUGUAACGGGUAACGGGGAAUCAGGGUUCGAUUCCGGAGAGGGAGCCUGAGAAACGGCUACCACAUCCAAGGAAGGCAGCAGGCGCGCAAAUUACCCACUCCCGGCACGGGGAGGUAGUGACGAAAAAUAACGAUACGGGACUCAUCCGAGGCCCCGUAAUCGGAAUGAGUACACUCUAAACCCUUUAACGAGGAUCAAUUGGAGGGCAAGUCUGGUGCCAGCAGCCGCGGUAAUUCCAGCUCCAAUAGCGUAUAUUAAAGUUGUUGCGGUUAAAAAGCUCGUAGUCGAAUCUGUGUCCCGCACCGCCGGUUCAUCGUUCGCGGUGUUAACUGGCGUGCCGCGGGACGUCCUGCCGGUGGGCUUAGCUCGCGAGGGCGGCCCAACUCAAUCCUGCCGCGGUGCUCUUCAUUGAGUGUCGAGGUGGGCCGGCACGUUUACUUUGAACAAAUUAGAGUGCUUAAAGCAGGCUAAAAUUUCGCCUGAAUACUGUGUGCAUGGAAUAAUGGAAUAGGACCUCGGUUCUAUUUUGUUGGUUUUCGGAACCCCGAGGUAAUGAUUAAUAGGAACGGAUGGGGGCAUUC
rnacentral:rRNA from 1 species